AGUAGUAAGGAGGCGAGGUGGCAGAAUAGUUAGCACGCCGGGCAAAGUACUUAGCAGUAUUUCGUCAUUUUCGCGUUCUGAGUGCAAAUUCCUUUCGAUCGACUAAUUAAGUACCAGUCAAGCUCUGGGGUCGAGGUAAUCGACUUGCUCUAGCCCAAAAUUUCAGGUCAUUAUGCCUAUAAUAGAAGCUUUACGACAGUCUCCGCCAAUGUCAGUUGUGGAAGUUUUCCUCCUUGGUAAGAUUUAGUUCCUCAAUUACCCAAUAGGGGGACAGUGAUGAAUAAUAGCUUCUAACGAGAACUGACAAUAGUGGUGAGGUUGGAGAAUAUUUGAUACCGUCGUCUCCGUUCUUGACUGGUUCUCUAUUUUAUUGACCCCGAAGAGAUGAAGAGAACCUCGGUGAGAUUUGAGCUCAAAACGUAAAAAACUGGAAAAAAUACUGCAUAGCGCAAAGAAGUGCUGUUAAUUUUGGCGCAAUGCAGGAAAUUUCGUUUCGGUAAUUAAAGCAAGCCAUUACAUUUUUUUUAUUUACUCCCCUUUGCUUCAGUCUGGCUUUCGUCGGGGAACCUGCUACACGUGGUAGCAGAUUAUCUUCGUCUCUUUUCUUCUAAGAAAUUAGCGACUUUUGUAUCAAGACUGCCGUGGAAAAUGAUUGUGUCGAAGAUAAUGAUGAAAUAGUGAGUAAAGCAACGAUUUAAUUUAUUUUUUGAAGAGCGUUUUUUCUUUCUACAAACCUCAUAUAACAACUGUAAUGAUGAUGACCCAGUCAUCUUACAAUAGUCAAGAUUUACAUUUUACCCUUCGUAAAUACUGUUCUAUUUAUGAAAAUUGAUAUAUCACUCCGUAUUAUGACCAACAACACCUUCAAACAAUAAAUUUCUCUCUUCUCGCCACAUGCUGACGGUAUAACAAUUAUAAUUUGAUAAAUUAUGUGUAUUCGAGUACCCUUCGGUACUACUAGCGAACAGUGGUCCCGGAGUGCGCACUCGCGCAUCUGCGCUAGCUAGUCGUAAGUAGUUGAUCCUACAACCCCAUUGGCGAUCUUUCGUCUCUAGUAGACCUUUCCGUCGAUUUCCGUAAAAUUUUUUUUUUUUUUACGUAUGGGCUUGCGGGAACUUUUGAAGUAAUAUACAUACAUAUACACAUACACCGAGUAAAAAAUUUCAGUUAUCUCUUUCUUUCACACAUUACUCUGUCUCUUCGCACACACUAACAGAAGCACUUCACUUACACAACAUACUGUCUGUCUCCCACACCCCAUCAAACACACACACAUACACACAUGUACAUCAAUGCUUGCCAUGCACGGUAACUUCAAAAGAACUUCCCUCGUCAUACAAUCGCUUUCUCUUAGUCUCUUUCGCUCUCAUUACUUCAAAAGUUCCCGCAAGCCCAUAUGUAAAAAAAAAAAUUUUUUACGGAAAUCGACGGAAAGGUCUACUAGAGACGAAAGAAUGCCUGAUAGAUUAUGUUUAUUCGAGUACCCUUCGGUACUACUAGCGAACAGUGGUCCCGGAGUGCGCACUCGCGCAUCUGCGCUAGCUAGUCGUAAGUAGUCGAUCCUACAACGCCUUUUUAACCCUAAACCUAAUCUUUGUUUAUAAAAAUAAUUUAUUUACUUAGUUUAAAAAAUUAUUUAGGAUCGACUAUUACGACUAGCUGGCGCGUGUGCUAGUAGUACCGAAAAAGCUUCUGAAAAAACAUCAAAUGUAAUAAAAAUUAUGCAAAUGCUGAAUUUCAAUUCUUCAUUCUAGACACAAUGGAAUUUUCCCCCUACCGGCUUUGUUUCUGUAUAACUUUUCUUAGAUAUGCGGUAUUUUUAACGAAGCUUUCCAUUUUUAAAUGGCGGGGAUAAUAACUAGUGGGGUACUACUAGCGAAUUAACAAGUAGGAAGAACUACUAAUGAAAUAAUUAAAUACAAAUAGUUCACACAAACGGAUACACAAAACCACUCAGUAAAGCAAUUGACAUUGUUUAAAAUAUUAAAAAGAUUAUUAAACCUUUUCAUUACCAUAUUUUUGAUGAAAUGGACUGCCAUUGUUUCAAUUAAUUUCGAAAAUUAUGAAGAAUUUAGUAAAUAGAAUAUUAACAUGGAAUUUCAAUAGGUUUUAAUUUGAUCAGCAGGAAGUUUGUAUUAUAAACCCUGGAGGUGAUCUCAGCCAGGUUGAUAUUGAAACAGUUAAUAUAAUAAUUGAACUAAUGUAGUUGUGAUACCCGUGCUGGUGGCAUGUAAAAAGCACCAUCUGUAUAUAUUUCUUUAUUACCCACAAGGGGCUAAACACAGAGAGGAUAAACAAGGGCAGACAAACGGAUUAAGUCGAUUAAAUCGACCCCAGUGCGUAACUGGUACUUAAUUCAUCGACCCCGAAAGGAUGAAAGGCUAAGUCGACCUCGGCGAAAUUUGAACUCAGAACGUGAAGGCAGACGAAAUACGGCUACGCAUUUCGCCCGGCGUGCUAACGUUUCUGCCAGCGCUGCCUGACUGGCGUCUGUGUUGGUGACACGUAAAAAGCAUCACCUGAUUGUGGCCAUUUGCCAGUCUCCUCUGGCCCCUGUGCCAGUGGCACGUAAAAAGCACCCACUACACUCACGGAGUGGUUGGUGUUAGGAAGGGCAUCCAGCUGUAGAAACACUGCCAGAUCAGACUGGAGCCUGGCGCAACCUCCUGGCUUCCCAGGCCCCGGUCGAACCAUCCAACCCAUGCUAGCAUGGAAAACGGACGUUAAACGAUGAUGAUGAUGUUCUGGUUCCAUCUUGUCUGGAAAUUCUGGUCAAAAGGAGGAUCCAUGCAUGAUAUCUAAAUACUCUCCAUCUUUCACCGUGCUAUCAUGUUGACUCAUUAAUAUAAGAAAGCUUUUUAUAUUAAAUGAGCAGUGUCGCCUGGCGUUGCUCGGGUUUGUAAGGGAAAUAACUAUAUAAGCAUUUUUAGAGAGUUACUUCCCUUAUGGAUGCCAAUUCGGGCUUUCUUAGCCAUUUCUGUUUUGGUGUCUUCAAGCCAUGAAGUCGUUGUUCUAAAAGAACGCUGGUCUCCUUGACAACGCUUUACGACGUUGAUUUCCUUACACUCCCUUCCCCACAGCUUCACGAGGGAGGGAAGAAGGGGAAGAAGCAAACAGGUGCAGCUGUGAGCGUGGACGCCAACUCUGCCGCCAUCGACACACGAAAAAAUAUGCAUUAAAAUGGAAUAAAAAAAUGAUGUUAAAUUAUUUUUAAAAUCGUAGACGCGCGCUAAUACCCAGACGGGCUCGAUAUGAAUCACGACUAUAAGCUACCCGAAUUUGGUUAAACUGCACCGCAAAAUGUGGGAGUAGUUAGGAAUCUAAAUCGAAGGGGACAGACACUCACACAACUACAGUUUUAUAUAUAUAGAUGUAUUUCAUGGACUGAGUUUUGGUCACGAUUGCAAAUAUUUCCCAAAUUAGGUGUAUAACUAAGUACUUAAUUUUUUGAAAUAAAACUGCAUUUAGUCAUUAUAGCUUAUUUGCUGAAGGACAUUUGCCAAUUCUUUUUACUAGUUCUGUGGCCCACCUGUAACUGAUGUUUGCACAGAAUACUUUGUUCAGCUAAUUGUUUUACUGCAAAUAUCUGAUCUUAUACGUUGCUUUAACCCUUUAGUGUUCAGAUUAUUCCAUCAAACAUAAUACUUAUUGAUUCCCAUUGAUUUGAAUUAAUCAUGCAUUAUCUCAUAUCUUCAAGAUCUUGAUGGUGUAAUUACUUAAUGUAGAAUAACAUUGUAGGGUAGGUGUGAGGGCCUGGAUCUGGUCAGUUUGAACAUAAAACGGAUUAGCUAUUUUGGCCGGAUAUGGCCGGUUUAAAUACUAAAGGGUUAACCCUUUAGUAUGCUGUUGUAAAUGUCAUUCAACCUGCUAAAAAAAACAGCCAAAUAUCACUCUUGCAAAAGAAGAUAGGAUGAUCUCAACUGGAAUGCUUUUGAUCAGUCAGGAUUGCAUGGUGGUGUUGUGGUUGAUCUUCAAGGAAAUAGUUUCCGUUUAGUUUUUUUUUUCAAAUUGCUGAUACUAUUCAUUACAACUUCUGACAGAAGUAUCCCUGUUUUUCAGUGAUAAGGUGGGGGUUUGAUCUCUGAUUGCACAGAGCCAGAGCAGAUACACUGCAAGGCAUCCAGACCAGUGUUCUAACAAUACUGCCAGCUGACUGCACUGGGCUGGAAUUUUUAUCAACCUUGAAGGAUGAAAGGCAAAGUAGACUUUGGUAGGAUGUGAACUCAGAACACGGAGAUUCAACAAACACCACAUGGCAUUUGUGCCUGGUGCUAAAUAUUUUUUUUUCUGGUUUGGCCAGUCAAUGUCUGUCAAUUCUUCAUCUAUCACUAUAUUUAGGUUAAUUUUGCUACAUUCACUGAUUACUGUUCCAAAUAACCAUAGUGGAACAUACUCUGCUUUAGGUUUUGGAUGUUUCAUUGAAUAAGUUCAUUUCAAAGAACUCCCUGAAGUAUGUAAAAUGAACAGUGAUGCUAGUACAUACAGUAACUACUGUACAUGAGAUUUGGUGAACCUUUAGUCACUUAACCUACAAAAACAGCAGCUAAAUUCCUUUACAUCCUAUCAUUAAAAAAUAGCCCCCUCAAAUAAUGCAUUAAAUAAUGUUAGUCCUUGAUACAAAAACACUGGAUGAUCUCACUGGAAUGGCUUUGAUCAUAGGUCUGUUCCUGCUCAUUUAGGGAACAUCUCUCUCUCUAUAUAUAUAUAUAUAUAAAUGGCAAAAUGUGUGUGUGUGUGCAUGUCCUUUAUACAGGUCCACAAUUUUUCAGUUGGAGGGCUUGCCCUUUCUAUGGUCAUCAAAAACCAUCCAGAGCCAUUGAAAGAUCAAUGGAAGUGACUUUUUUGUGAAUUUUCUAUCCAAAACCUAAUCAAAAUGCCCGAAGCUUGAUACGCCAAUUGAAUGCCAGCUAACUGUGUGUGAUUUGGACAGUACUCGCGUGUAUGUGCGCACGCACGCAUCUGUAUAUGCAUGCACUAGCACUAUGACCCGGCGUUGCCGGGUCAUAGUGCUAGUUUGGGUUAAUCAACAACUUGUGGCUUGAACACAUUUGAAACUUUUGGGUUAUAACUAAUUCUUAAGUAAGACCUGUGUGUCUCAUUAAAUUUCAACCCUGCAUAAUUUCUAUGGCUUUUUAAUAUUCAUCAAAAAGUUCAGUAUAUAUAAUUCUUCUGUCUAAGGUGGCUAGCUUUGUGGAAUUUCUCUUGGUUUUUCUUUAUACUCUUUUACUUGUUUCAGUCAUUUGACUGCGGCCAUGCUGGAGCACCGCCUUUAGUCGAGCAAAUUGACCCUGGGACUUAUUCUUUGUAAGCCCAGUACUUAUUCUAUCGGUCUCUUUUGCCGAACCGCUAAGUGACGGGGACGUAAACACACCAGCAUCGGUUGUCAAGCAAUGCUAGGGGGACAAACACAGGCACACACACACACACACAUACAUAUAUACGACAGGCUUGUUCUAAUUUCAAUUAAUGCUGAGGUCAACUUUGCCUCAUUUAUCCUUUUGGUGGUUGAUAAAAUAAAGUAAGUCAAGUACAUCAACUUCCCGCUCCCAACCUCAAAAAUUUCUGGCCUUGUGCCAAAAUUAGAAUCAUCAUCAUUUUUUGUGUCUUUUUUUUUUUUUUUUUUUUUUGCUGUCAAGGUUGGACAAGAAUUCUUGAAGCGGUAUUCUAUGGCAGAUUACACUUCCUGAGGCCAUUCCUUAUUUAUUUUCAACUUAUUGACAACCGAUGCUGGUGUGUUUACGUCCCCCGUAACUUAGCGGUUCGGCAAAAAGAGAUCGAUAGAAUAAGUACUAGGCUUACAAAGAAUAAGUCCUGGGGUCGAUUUGCUCGACUAAAAAAAUGGUGAAGCUCCAGCAUGGCCACAGUCAAAUGACUGAAACAAGUAAAAGAAUAAGGUUCUUCAUUCCCUAGCUCUUCAACUAUGAAAUCACUGAACUACAGGGCAUUAUGUAGAACAAAUGUUAUUGUGCCCAAGUUGUAUCACUGCAUGGUAGAGACACACAUAUUUGUGUACACAUAUACAAAAGGCGCAAGCAUAGCUGUCUGGUUUGCUUCUCAAUCAUGUACUUUUGGAGUCAGUCCUACUGUAUGGAAGUGUUUUUUUACAUAACUUUAUUUUUUUGUCUGGAGCAGUAAAUUUACUAUAAUAGAAUUUCAUAUCAUCAUCAAUAUCAAUAUAUUAAAGUGAUAUCAUCAUCAUCAUCAUCAUCGUUUAACGUCCGCUUUCCAUGCUAGCAUGGGUUGGACGGUUCAACUGGGGUCUGGCAAGCCCGAAGGCUGCACCAGGCCAGUCAGAUCUGGCAGUGUUUCUACAGCUGGAUGCCCUGCCUAACGCCAACCACUCCGAGAGUCGAAAGGAUGAAAGGCAAAGUCAACCUCGGCGGAAUUUGAACUCAGAACGUAACGACAGAAGAAAUACCUAUUUCUUUACUACCCACAAGGGGCUAAACACAGAGAGGACAGACAAGGGGAUUAAGUCGAUUACAUCUACCCCAGUGUGUAACUGGUACUUAAUUUAUCGACCCCGAAAGGAUGAAAGGCAAAAUUGACCUAGGCGGAAUUUGAACUCAGAACAUAGCGGCAGCUGAAAUGCCUAUUUCUUUACUACCCACAAGGGGCUGAACAUAGAGGAGACAAACAAGGACAGACAAAGGAAUUAAGUCGAUUACAUCUACCCCAGUGUGUAACUGGUACUUAAUUUAUCGACCCCGAAAGGAUGAAAGGCGAAAUCGACCUCGGCGGAAUUUGAACUCAGAACGUAGCGGCAGACGAAAUACCUAUUUCUUUACUACCCACAAGGGGCUAAACACAGAGGAGACAGACAAGGGGAUUAAGUCGAUUACAUCUACCCCAGUGUGUAACUGGUACUUAAUUUAUCGACCCCGAAAGGAUGAAAGGCGAAAUCGACCUCUGCGGAAUUUGAACUCAGAACGUAGCGGCAGACGAAAUACCUAUUUCUUUACUACCCACAAGGGGCUAAACACAGAGGAGACAGACAAGGGGAUUAAGUCGAUUACAUCUACCCCAGUGUGUAACUGGUACUUAAUUUAUCGACCCUGAAAGGAUGAAAGGCAAAGUUGACCUCGGCGGAAUUUGAACUCAGAACGUAACGACAGAAGAAAUACCUAUUUCUUUACUACCCACAAGGGGCUAAACACAGAGAGGACAGACAAGGGGAUUAAGUCGAUUACAACUACCCCAGUGUGUAACUGGUACUUAAUUUAUCGACCCCGAAAGGAUGAAAGGCGAAAUCGACCUCGGCGGAACUUGAACUCAGAAUGUAGUGGCAGAUGAAAUACUGCCAAGCAUUUCACCUGGCGUGCUAACGUUUCUGCCAGCUCGCCACCUUUCAGAUUGCUCUGUCAGAUGUAAUGCUUAGGUAUUCACAUUGUUUUCAAUUCAGCAUUAAUUAUCUUGUAGCUUUCAGAUUUCAAUGGUGUGAUUGCUUAUUUUUAGAAUGACAUUACAGGGUAUGUUUGGUCGGUUUCAGCAUAAAUUAGACAAAAUAUUUCAACUGGAUAUGUCUGGUUUAAUCCUUUAGCAUUCAGGUUACUCUAUCAAAUGUAAUACUUAUUUAUUCACAUAGUUUUAAGUUAACCCUUUAGUGUUCAAAUUUCUCUAUUAAAUGUAAUACUUUUUCACUCAGAUUGUUUUGAAUUAAUCAUGCAUUACCUUAUAGCUUUGAGGUUUCAAUGAUGUGAUUGUUUGUUUUUAGAAUGUCAAUGUAGGUUAGGUGUGAGAGGCUAGAUAUGGCCAGUUUGAAUAUAAAAUAUGUAGAAUAUAUUGGGCCGGAUUUGGCCGGUUUAAGCACUAAAGGGUUAAACAAACAUUAUCUUGUGGCUUCGAGAUUUCAAUGAUGUGAUUUACUCUUUCACUUGUUUCAGUCAUUUGACUGCGACCAUGCUGAGCACCACCUUUAGUUGAUCAAAUCGACCCCGGGACUUAUUCUUUGUAAGCCCAGUACUUAUUCUAUUGGUCUCUUUUGCCGAACCGCUAAGUGGCAGGGACAAAAACACACCAGCAUCGGUUGUCAAGCAAUGCUAGGGGGACAAACACACGCACAUACAUAUAUAGGACGGGCUUCUUUCAGUUUCCAUCUACCAAAUCCACUCACAAGGCAUUGGUCGGCCCGGGGCUAUAGCAGAAGACACUUGCCCAAGAUGCCACGCAGUGGGACUAUACCCGAAAACAUGUGGUUGGUAAACAAGCUACUUACCAGGCAGCCGCUCCUGCGCCUGUCUAUUUUUUAAAGUUUGCUUUGUCUUACAUUAUUUUUUUCUCUGUAAUUUCAGAUUAUCUGGUGAUAUUGGCAUCUACAGACGCUUUUACAUCAACGAUUAUUAAAAUCUGUGAAAAAGAGAUAAACAUCUGCAUAUUUUGGUGUGAGAAGAAUAAAUACGGAAAAUGAAUUCUGUGAAAGCAACUCAGUCUAUAAAAGGAUUGAUUCUUCUGCUGCUACAGAAGAAGGAACAGGUAAGAUAUUAUGCCAUUGUGAUAUCUGUAAGGAGAUAUAUUCUCAGAACGAUAACCCCAAUAAACACAAAUAUAUUCAAGCAAACUUAUUGAUUCACAUAUUAUUCAGUUUCCGUCUACCAAAUCCACUCACAAGGCUUUGGUCCGCCCGAGGCUAUAGCAGAAGACACUUGCCCAAGGUGCCACGCAGUGGGACUGAACCCGGAACCAUGUGGUUGGUAAACAAGCUACUUACCACACAGCCACUCCUGCACCUAUAUAUAUACAUACACGACGGGCUUCUUUCAGUUUCCAUCUACCAAAUCCACUCACAAGGCAUUGGUCGGACGGGGCUAUAGCAGAAGACACUUGCCCAAGGUGCCACGCAGUGGGACUGAACCCGGAAGCAUGUGGUUGGUAAGCAAGCUACUUACCACACAGCCACUCCUAUGCCUGAUGUUUGUAGUAAAUCAUUAUCCCUUGGAAUUAUCUUGAUAAACUCAAUAUGUUUACAUAGAGAAACAAUAUCACUGAUGUGUUACCAAUAAAUAUAUUCAGGCAUAUUUACACAGUAGAGAAACCAUAUCACUGUGAUAUCUGUUGUGUAUCAUUUUCUCAAACAUUACGUAAACUGCACACAAAAACAUCCAUACAUGAGAGAAACCAUAUCGUUCUACUAUCAGUUGUGAGUAAUUUUCUCAAUAACAAAAAUUAACUACCUAUAGUACAGUCUGGUUAACCCUUUCGUUACCAACCCGGCUGGAACUGGCUCUGACCCUGUAGUACAAUGUCUUGUUUUCAAAAGUUCUGAAUUAAAAUCUUCCACCAAACCUUAGUCACAAUUUAUGUUCCUAACACUAAGCUGAAAGAUAACUAAGUUAUUUUACUAAAUUCUGUGUUAUAUUUAAAAUUAAUUGAAAACGAAAACAGAGCAUCUCAACAGAAAUAUGGUAACAAAAGGGUUAAAGACAGUCGGUCAUGUGUGUCUUCAAUGUGCACAAGAUUUGGUUGCUAUUUCUAACAAGUGAAACAAAAUCUGCAAAUUUACCCUUUGAUUACCAACCCGGCUGAAACCACCUCUGGCUAUGUAGUACAAAUGUUUUCUUUUCAUAAGAUUUGAAUUAAAAUCUUCCACCAAACCUUAGUCACAAUUUAUGUUCCUAACACUAGCUGAAUGAUAACUAAGUUAUUUUACUAAACUCAUUGUUAUAUUUAAAAUUAAUUGAAAGAAACACAGAGCAUCUCAACAGAAAUAUGGUAACAAAAGGCUUAAAAAUAUAUGAUAGAGAAACAAUUUUUAACCCUUUUGAUACCAACCCGUCUGAAACCGGCUCUGGCUCUGUAGUAUAAAUGUCUUGUUUUCAUAAUUUUUGAAUUAAAAUCUUCCACCAAACCUUAGUCACAAUUUAUGUUCCUAACAUUAGCUUAAUGAUAACGAAGUUAUUUUACUAAACUCAUUAUAUUUAAAAUAAUUGAAAGAAACACAGAACAUCUCAAAAUAAAUGCAGUAAGAAAAGGGUUAAUACAGUUCAAUGGAAGGUAGGCAAAAGAUAAUGCCUAGGGAUUGCGCUCUUGCCUUUUUCAGUAUUCUCUGUCUUACAAUAUUUUGUUUUCUAUCAUUUCAGAUUUGCAGAUGACAUCACCCUCUACUGAUGGAGUCGGCUACUCUGGGAAACCUGUUUAAAAUCUCAGCCAAGGCAGCAUCUGCACCAAUUCCACGAACUAAUUGGGUGAAAUGUUUCACGAGUCACUUAGCUCAGUGGUACAGCAUGCUUAAUUGGGGUUCGAGAAGUAUGGGUUUGGCCAUCUGUUGCGGCUUGCCGUGCAAUGUUUGCACUCAAGAAGACCUGCCCUCCACAGCAGAAGUGUUAUGGUUGCGUCACCUGGUGAAGAAGAUUGGCCUGCAAGCGCCCUGUGUCAAUACCACAGAAAAUGCACUUGUAUUGGUGUCAUGUAAAAGAUCUCAUGCUGGUGGCCCGUUAAAAGCACUCCGCACACUGUAAAGCGGUUGGUGUUGGGAAGGACAUCCGGCUGUAGAAACCAAGCCAAGUCAAACUGGAGCCUAAUGCAGCUUCCUAGCUUGCUUGUUCUGGUCAAACCGUCCGACCCAUGCCAGCACGGAAAACAGACACGAACCCUUUAAUGUUAGAUUACUCUGUAAGAUGUUCUGCUUAUUUAUUCAUAUUGUUUUGUGUUAAUCAUGCAUUAGGUGUAAGAGUGGCUGUGUGGUAAGUAGCUUGCUUACGAGCCACAAGGUUCCGGGCUCAGUUCCACUGCGUGGCACCUUGGGCAAGUGUCUUCUACUAUAGCCUCGGGCUAUAUAUAUAUAUACAUGUAUGUAUAUGUACAUAUAUACAUGUAUGUAUAUAUGUAUAUGUACAUAUAUAUAUGUAUGUGUGUCUGUGUUUGUCCCCCCAACGUUGCUUGACAACCGAUGCUGGUGUGUUUACGUCCCCGUAACUUAGCGGUUCGGCAAAAGAGACUGAUAGAAUAUGUACUAGGCUUACAAAGAAUAAGUCCUGGGGUCAAUUUCCUCGACUAAAGGCAGUGUUCCAGCAUGGCCACAGUCAAAUGUCUGAAACAAGUAAAGAGAGUAAAUUCGCUACAUUCGCAUGAGGAUAUUGGUUCUGUUAAAUAUCUUCGAAUGUACGUUGUCCAAUGGGAACUUUGCCUGUUGCUAGCCUUUGCAAUUAAAAUGUAAUUUUUUUAAAUUUCGUUUUCGAAGCACCGGUAAUAAUUACCCUCCACAUGUUGGUGAGUAAUUAAGUUACCUUUUUGCGAGAAUUAUUUUACAACUGAUAUCACAACGAUAUGGAUUCUUUCAAUGUACAAAUACGUUUGUGUGUUUUUAGGGUACUGAUCUCAGAAAAUGAAGUGCCACAGAUCUCUCUGCAAAACGUCUGCCACUACGUUGUGAGUUCAAAUUCCGCCGAGGUCGACUUUGCCUUUCAUCCUUUCGGGGUCGAUUAAAUAAGUACCAGUUACGUACUGGGGUCGAUGUAAUCGAUUUAGUCCCUUUGUUUGUCCCCUCUAUGUUUAGCCCCCUGUGAUCUAUCAUCAUCAUUUAGCGUCCGUUUUCCAUGCUAGCAUGGGUUGGACGGUUCAACUGGGGUCUGUGAAGCUGGAAGGCUAUAGUUACCAUUUUGCGAGAAUUAUUUUACAACUGAUAUCACAACGAUAUGGAUUCUUUCAUUGUACGAAUACAUUUAUGUGUUUUCAAGGUACUGGUUUCAGAAAAUGAUACGCCACAGAUCUCUCUGCAAAACGUAUUUUUUCUUAUGUAUACGUUUGUGAGAUGUUAUGGUACUGAUCUGUAAGAAUGAUGUGCCAUAAUUUUGACAGUGAUCUGGCUUCUCUUUGAUUUGAGUGCAUUUAUUUUACCAGUUGUGCAGAAACGUUGGCACGCCAGGCGCAAUGCUUAGCAGUAUUUCGUUACCGCUCUGUUACGAGUUCAAAUUCCGCCGAGGUCGACUUUGCCUUUCAUCCUUUCGGGGUCGAUUAAAUAAGUACCAGUUAAGUACUGGGGUCGAUGUAAUCGAUUUAGUCCCUUUGUCUGUCUUUGUUUGUACAAUCAUGUCAGUGAAAUCUUAAAGCUACCAGAUAAUGCUUGAAUAAUUAAAAGCGAUGUGAAUAAAUAAGUAGAGGCGCAAUGGCCCAGUGGUUAGGGCAGCGGACUCGCGGUCGCAGGAUCGCGGUUUCGAUUCUCAGACCGGGCGUUGUGUGUGUUUAUUGAGCGAAAACACCUAAAAAAGCUCUACGAGGCUCCGGCAGGGGGUGGUUAUCCCUGCUGUACUCUUUCACCACAAUGGCGGUGCCCCAGCAUGGCCACAGCUCAAGAGCUGAAACUGGAAAAAACAAAAAACAAACAAACAUUACACUUGACAAUAAUCUGAAUGAUAAACGGUUAAAAGACGAGGCUGAUUUCAAAUAAGUGUUCAUUAUUUGCUCAACCAUGAGAUGCUGAAAUGUAAAAAAAAAAAAAAAAUGCAGGUUUUGAAAUAAUCUUUGAGAAAAUAAGAAAAACAGUUUUAAAACAUUUCUUUACAAUUUUUAAGAGGGACUUUAUUUGAGUGAUGAAUAAGUUUAUUUUCUAACAAAGUCACCUUUUGAAAUUCAGUGUCUUGCCAUAAGUGAAAAGGCACAAGUUGUACAAAGCUAAAUAUAUUUUGUAUUUUUUGUCUGUGGCUUUCCACAAACAUAGGUGUAGGAGUGGCUGUAUGGUAAAUAGCUUGCUUACGAACCACAUGGUUCUGGGUUCAGUUGCACUGCGUGGUGCCUUGGGCAAGUGUCUUCUACUAUAGCCUCGGGCCGACCAAAGCCUUGAGUGGAUUUGGUAAACGGAAACUGAAAGAAGCCCUUCAUAUAUAUAUAUGUGCGUGUGUGUGUGUGUGUGUAUAUAUAUAUAUAUAUAAUGUAUGUGUGUCUGUAUUUGUCCCCCCCGACGUUGCUUGACAACCGAUGCUGGUGUGUUUACGUCCCCGUAACUUAGCGGUUCGGCAAAAGAGUCCGAUAGAAUAAGUACUGGGCUUACAAAUAAUAAGUCCUGGGGUCGAUUUGCUCGACUAAAGGCAGUGUUCCAGCAUGGCCACAUUCACUUGACUGAAACAAGUAAAGAGAGUAAAUUCGCUACGUUCGCAUGAGGAUAAUGGUUCUGUUAAAUAUCUUCGAAUGUACGUUGUCCAAUGGAAACUUUGCCUGUUGCUAGCCUUUGCAAUUAAAAUGUAAUUUUUUU
rnacentral:lncRNA from 1 species